CCGUUGCCAUCAUUAAGUUGGGCACUCUGAGGAAACUGCCCGGGUUAACCGGGAGGAAGGCGGGGAUGACGUCAAGUCCUCAUGGCCCUUUAUGACCAGGGCUACACACGUGCUACAAUGGCCGGUACAAAGAGUUGCGAUACCGCGAGGUGGAGCUAAUCUCAUAAAGCCGGUCUCAGUUCGGAUUGGAGUCUGCAACUCGACUCCAUGAAGUUGGAAUCGCUAGUAAUCGCGGAUCAGCAUGCCGCGGUGAAUACGUUCCCGGGCCUU
rnacentral:rRNA from 1 species